UACGUAGGGGGCGAGCGUUGUCCGGAAUUACUGGGCGUAAAGCGCACGUAGGCGGAUCAGUCAGUUAGAGGUGAAAGCCCAGGGCUCAACCCUGGAACUGCCUUUAAUACUGCUGGUCUGGAGUCCGAGAGAGGUGAGUGGAAUUCCGAGUGUAGAGGUGAAAUUCGUAGAUAUUCGCAAGAACACCAGUGGCGAAGGCGGCUCACUGGUCCGGUACUGACGCUGAGGUGCGAAAGCGUGGGGAGCAAACAGG
rnacentral:rRNA from 1 species